UACAGAGGUCCCAAGCGUUGUUCGGAUUCACUGGGCGUAAAGGGUGCGUAGGCGGUCGGGUAAGUCUGAUGUGAAAUCUCACAGCUUAACUGUGAAGCUGCAUUGGAUACUAUCCGGCUCGAGGAAUGGAGGGGGAGACUGGAAUACUUGGUGUAGCAGUGAAAUGCGUAGAUAUCAAGUGGAACACCAGUGGCGAAGGCGAGUCUCUGGACAUUUCCUGACGCUGAGGCACGAAAGCCAGGGGAGCAAACGGGG
rnacentral:rRNA from 1 species